rnacentral:rRNA from 1 species
UGGGGAAUUUUGGACAAUGGGCGAAAGCCUGAUCCAGCAAUGCCGCGUGUGUGAAGAAGGCCUUCGGGUUGUAAAGCACUUUUGUCCGGAAAGAAAUCCUUGGCUCUAAUACAGUCGGGGGAUGACGGUACCGGAAGAAUAAGCACCGGCUAACUACGUGCCAGCAGCCGCGGUAAUACGUAGGGUGCAAGCGUUAAUCGGAAUUACUGGGCGUAAAGCGUGCGCAGGCGGUUUGCUAAGACCGAUGUGAAAUCCCCGGGCUCAACCUGGGAACUGCAUUGGUGACUGGCAGGCUAGAGUAUGGCAGAGGGGGGUAGAAUUCCACGUGUAGCAGUGAAAUGCGUAGAGAUGUGGAGGAAUACCGAUGGCGAAGGCAGCCCCCUGGGCCAAUACUGACGCUCAUGCACGAAAGCGUGGGGAGCAAACGGGAUUAGAUACCCUGGUAGUCCACGCCCUAAACGAUGUCAACUAGUUGUUGGGGAUUCAUUUCCUUAGUAACGUAGCUAACGCGUGAAGUUGACCGCCUGGGGGAGUACGGUCGCAAGAUUAAAACUUAAAUGAA